rnacentral:rRNA from 1 species
UACGAAGGGGGCUAGCGUUGCUCGGAAUUACUGGGCGUAAAGCGCACGUAGGCGGCUUUCUAAGUCGGGGGUGAAAUCCUGGAGCUCAACUCCAGAACUGCCUUCGAUACUGGAGCUUGAGUCCGGGAGAGGUGAGUGGAACUGCGAGUGUAGAGGUGAAAUUCGUAGAUAUUCGCAAGAACACCAGUGGCGAAGGCGGCUCACUGGCCCGGUACUGACGCUGAGGUGCGAAAGCGUGGGGAGCAAACAGGG